CCCUUAGAUGUCCUGGGCCGCACGCGUGCUACACUGACACUUACACCGAGUUUUUCCAAUGCCGAAAGGCCAUUGGUAAUCAGCAAUAAGUGUCGUGAUGGGGAUAGAUCUUUGGAAUUAUUGAUCUUGAACGAGGAAUGCCUAGUAAUCGUAGGUCAUCAGCCUGCGAUGAUUACGUCCCUGCCCUUUGUACACACCGCCCGUCGCACCUACCGAUUGAAUGGUCCGGUGAAAUCUCGGGACGGCGGCUUGGUCGCUUGCGUCCGACUGCUGAAACUUGAUUAAACCACAUCAUUUAGAGGAAGGUGAAGUCGUAACA
rnacentral:rRNA from 1 species